ensembl:lincRNA Gm26812 predicted gene, 26812
ACUUUGCCUCAGGAAGCUCACAGAGCUACACUUUGGGGUAUGGCAGAAUGGUGAAUAUAUUUUUUAAAAAAAAAAAAAAAAGCUCUAGAGGAAGGCAGAAGAAUCCUAACAUUUGGGAGGUGGAGGCAGGAAGAUCAGUUUAAGGUCAUCCUUGGACCAACUUGCAAAAAGAAAAAAAAAAAAAUAAGAAGAAAACGAAAUAUUCACCUCAAGAGACACAGGCACCGUGGAGAAGUCCAGAGAGGAUUGGGAGCCGCUGGUCAUAUCCACAGUCAAGAACAGAGAGAGAGUGAACAUGGCUGCCCGUGCAGGACCCCGGACUUAGGGGAUGGUACCGCCCACGGAUUUCUCUGUGUCCUGGAACUCAUGCUGUAGACCAGAGUGGUCAUGAACUCGGAAACCUGCCUACCCCUGCCUCCUGAGUGCUGAGAUUAAAGGCAUGCGCCACCACCUCCAUAACAAUCAAAAUUUAACCUCUACAACUGUAUGUGUUUGCCUACCCAUCAGGGGAUGGACAUUUGGAAUAGAACCAAGAAGGAACUGACCAAGUUAUACCCUCGCUAUCAGCAAGAAAAUCUUAGAACAACUUGCCAAUAUGC